UACGUAGGGGGCAAGCGUUGUCCGGAUUUACUGGGCGUAAAGAGCGCGCAGGUGGUCGUUCAAGUCGCGUGUGAAAGCCCCCGGCUCAACUGGGGAGGGUCACGCGAUACUGAUCGACUCGAAGGCAGGAGAGGGUAGUGGAAUUCCCGGUGUAGUGGUGAAAUGCGCAGAUAUCAGGAGGAACACCAAUUGCGAAGGCAGCUCGCUGGGACGUUACUGACGCUGAGACGCGAAAGCGUGGGGAGCAAACAGG
rnacentral:rRNA from 1 species